GGCUCAGAGCUGGAGUGACGCGGCCAAGGUCAGAGCAGGGCUAGAAGCAGCUGCCAAGCUCUCUGCCCCUCGGCAGAGGCAUCAUACGCUGCCCACACUGGCCCCUUCUGAAGUUCAAGAGGCUGGAGGCAUCAGGACUCACCGAGGUUGCUGACGUGGGUCAGGACAGGGUCCUGGCUUCCCCCUGUGGCCUGUGGACUCCUUCCCUGGGGCAACUGCCAAGGCCACGCUGUCUUUCCUCCCUGGGAGUCUGCCAGGGCAGCUAGGCAUGGAGCCUCUCGGGAAGCGGGGCUCUGGGCCAGGUGAAAGAAGUCUCCCCAAAGAAAGCUCCCUCCAGGACACACAGUGACCAGGCCCUGGGCUCACGGUACCUGUGGAGGGCUCAGUUACACCCAGGCUGCGUGCGAGUCUGUCUCCUGGCACAGUGGCUUGGGACCUCUCCAGGUUGCCAGGCGCAUUUUCCAGUCAGCUGCUGGGUCCCUUUAAGAGAGCUGGCCCCUCUUAUUGGCUGAGCAAGGCUCCUCCUACCUCUUUACCUGCACAGGUGACAGAAGCCGGGCUUAGGAACCCAGAUGGAAGUCUGGUCCCCAGGGGUGAAGGGGCACAUCCAGUCCACAGCGCUCUUGGCAGGAAGGUUGGCAGUGCAGGUUGUCUGGGGAUCCAAACCCAAGGCUCUUCCUUUGACUCCUCACACAGUGCUUCUGGGGCACACCACCAGCCUGUCGGUGAGGACUGUGGCAAGUCACCCACUGCCUCAGUUUCUUCAUCUGUGAAGUGGUACAGUCACGCCUGUGAGUCUAUACUCACUAUAUGAAGCAUUGGUGUUCAGCAAAUAUCCUGUGCCUGCCACUGUUUUUGCUUCUAGGAAGACAUCAGUGAAAAAGUCAAGAGCACUACUCUUCCUGAGUUGAUAUUGUAGACCGAGGGGGUGUGGAUAUAAACAAGGCAGUAGAUUAGACUGGUAAUCAUGCCAUGAAGAUUGAAAUAAGCUGCUAUGCUAAAGGAAUGAGGGAUGAAUAUUUUCGAUUGUGUGGUCAGGGAGGCCCACUUCAGGGAGGUGAUUUGGAAGGUG
ensembl:lncRNA